rnacentral:snoRNA from 1 species
AGGUCUCUUGCCUCGCUCGGUCUGCCGUCUUCACUCGGCUAAUCUUGAGCUGGAUGCAGCCCGCCCGUCCAUGACGAGUGGCCUGUAUGAGACAAGAACAAGCGUGGAGACCACGCGUCGACGUUUUUUGAGUACGGUUUUAUCCGCCUUGCACCACGGAUAUGCACCGUAAUUUAUCUGUCGGGACAUCU